rnacentral:misc_RNA from 1 species
UUACACAUUUCCGGUACAAGUACGCGGGCAUUAGAGAAGGACGGAACGGUCUCUCUCUUUACCCCUAUAUCGCGUUUUUAGUUCGCUCACGCGCUCUGUACUUAUAUCUAUUACAUUUCCACCAUAAGCAGCGGCCGUGCAGUGACUUACAAAAGUUUCGAACUCGCGGACGUUUAAUCACGUUCCCUACUCCGAAAGGAUAUUUCUGGUCUACGCACUCCAGUGCCCGCACAACUGAUAUUUAAACGCCUGAUUUUCCCAUAUUCUACAGCGACAACAUUACCUGAUUUUUUACAACCAUGAAGGACUCGAAAAUACUUGCAAUCCUCAUCUGUUUGCAAAUUAUUUUCGUCACUUUCGUCCCGUCAGGGGCUGUGCCUUUAGGAGGAAGCUGUACUGAUGUAGAAGGAAAAUCUGUCUUACAUGGACAGAUGUAUGUGCCGGGACCUUGGAUUUGCAAACACUGCAUAUGUCACUAUUCGAAGCCAAUAUCUUGCGGACCUAUCCGCUGUUCAAUUCCUUCGGUAAGUAUAUGCUCAUUCUAAGAGCAACCAGCUUAACACAACCAUGAGAAACUAAAGUACACCGUUAACGCUUGCAUGCUGGUCGUUGAAACACAUGCUGCGCGAAUAGGGUACACAGCGAUUCAUUUAACUCGCCUUGAAUUAGUUUUAGAAAGACAAACAUGGACAGGGAUAAUUUUUGUCACGAGUCGUUUAAUUUAUUCGUUCAUUAGAACGAAUUAAUUUACACCUGCUGAGAUCGCGAUUGAUGCGACAAAUUCGAAAUCUUGUUCCAUAUAAAUAUUUUUAAACAAGCACGUCGUAAGCUUUGUAUAUUUUUUAAUCGCAACGAAACUGUUCAGAGAAAUGCUGAAAUUAUUAAUUAUAAAAGGAGAUUUCUACGCAUCGUUGUAAAAGUGUCAGGGAAAAUAUUCGUGAAACAGUUACGUUGUUACAAGUUCUACAAGA